CGGGGGGAGCAAGCGUUGUUCGGAUUUACUGGGCGUAAAGGGCGCGUAGGCGGUCAGCACAAGUCAGUUGUGAAAUCUCCGGGCUUAACUCGGAAAGGUCAACUGAUACUGUGCGACUAGAGUGCAGAAGGGGCAACUGGAAUUCUCGGUGUAGCGGUGAAAUGCGUAGAUAUCGAGAGGAACACCUGCGGCGAAGGCGGGUUGCUGGGCUGACACUGACGCUGAGGCGCGAAAGCCAGGGGAGCGAACGGGAUUAGAUACCCCGGUAGUCCUGGCCUUAAACGAUGGAUGCUUGGUGUCUGGAGUUAUAUAGUCUCCGGGUGCCGCAGCUAACGCGUUAAGCAUCCCACUGGGGAGUACGGUCGCAAGACUG
rnacentral:rRNA from 1 species